rnacentral:lncRNA from 1 species
UGAAAAUCGAAAAAGGAAAUAGAAACUGAAUAAGGAAAAGGAAACUGAAUAAGGAAAAAGAAACCGAAUAAGGAAAUGAAAAUCGAAUAAGGAAAAAGAAACCGAAUAAGGAAAUAAAAAUCGAAUAAGGAAAUAGAAACUGAAUAAGGAAAAAGAAACCGAAUAAGGGAAUGAAAAUCGAAAAAGAAAAUUGAAAUCGAAUAAGGAAAUGAAAAUCGAAAAAGGAAAUAGAAAACGAAUAAGGAAACGGAAAAAAAAUGAAGAAAAAAAAAUUUUGAGGAAAAA